rnacentral:rRNA from 1 species
ACGGGGAGCAGCAGGCGCGAAACCUUUACACUGCACGACAGUGCGAUAAGGGGACUCCGAGUGCGAGGGCAUAUAGCCCUCGCUUUUCUGAACCGUAGGGUGGUUCAGGAACAAGGACUGGGCAAGACCGGUGCCAGCCGCCGCGGUAAUACCGGCAGUCCGAGUGAUGGCCGAUAUUAUUGGGCCUAAAGCGUCCGUAGCCGGCCGGACAAGUCCGUUGGGAAAUCGACGCGCUCAACGCGUCGGCGUCCAGCGGAAACUGUCCGGCUUGGGGCCGGAAGACCUGAGGGGUACGUCCGGGGUAGGAGUGAAAUCCCGUAAUCCUGGACGGACCACCGGUGGCGAAAGCGCCUCAGGAAGACGGACCCGACGGUGAGGGACGAAAGCUAGGGUCUCGAACCGGAUUAGAUACCCGGGUAGUCCUAGCCGUAAACAAUGCUCACUAGGUGUGACACAGGCUACGAGCCUGUGUUGUGCCCUAGGGAAGCCGAGAAGUGAGCCGCCUGGGAAGUACGUCCGCAAGGAUGAAACUCAAAUGAAUUGACGG